rnacentral:rRNA from 1 species
CCUGGCUAGGAUGAACGCUAGCGACAGGCCUAACACAUGCAAGUCGAGGGGCAGCACAAGGAGCAAUCUGAGGUGGCGACCGGCGCACGGGUGAGUAACACGUAUGCAACCUGCCUGUAAGCGGGGAAUAACCCGUUGAAAGACGGACUAAUACCGCAUAAUACUAAAUUACUGCAUGGUAAUUUAUUUAAACAUUUAUGGCUUACAGAUAGGCAUGCGCAUGAUUAGCUAGUUGGAGAGGUAACGGCUCCCCAAGGCAACGAUCAUUAGGGGUUCUGAGAGGAAGGUCCCCCACACUGGUACUGAGACACGGACCAGACUCCUACGGGAGGCAGCAGUGAGGAAUAUUGGUCAAUGGACGAGAGUCUGAACCAGCCAAGUCGCGUGCAGGAAGAAUGUCCCUAUGGAUUGUAAACUGCUUUUGCAGGGGAAUAAAGUGCAUCACGUGUGAUGUUUUGUAUGUACUCUGCGAAUAAGGAUCGGCUAACUCCGUGCCAGCCGCCGC